rnacentral:rRNA from 1 species
UUGCUGGGUGGAUUAGUGGCGAACGGGUGAGUAACACGUGAGUAACCUGCCCUUAACUCUGGGAUAAGCCUGGGAAACUGGGUCUAAUACCGGAUAGGAGCGUCCACCGCAUGGUGGGUGUUGGAAAGAUUUAUCGGUUUUGGAUGGACUCGCGGCCUAUCAGCUUGUUGGUGAGGUAAUGGCUCACCAAGGCGACGACGGGUAGCCGGCCUGAGAGGGUGACCGGCCACACUGGGACUGAGACACGGCCCAGACUCCUACGGGAGGCAGCAGUGGGGAAUAUUGCACAAUGGGCGAAAGCCUGAUGCAGCGACGCCGCGUGAGGGAUGACGGCCUUCGGGUUGUAAACCUCUUUCAGUAGGGAAGAAGCGAAAGUGACGGUACCUGCAGAAGAAGCACCGGCUAACUACGUGCCAGCAGCCGCGGUAAUACGUAGGGUGCGAGCGUUAUCCGGAAUUAUUGGGCGUAAAGAGCUCGUAGGCGGUUUGUCGCGUCUGUCGUGAAAGUCCGGGGCUUAACCCCGGAUCUGCGGUGGGUACGGGCAGACUAGAGUGCAGUAGGGGAGACUGGAAUUCCUGGUGUAGCGGUGGAAUGCGCAGAUAUCAGGAGGAACACCGAUGGCGAAGGCAGGUCUCUGGGCUGUAACUGACGCUGAGGAGCGAAAGCAUGGGGAGCGAACAGGAUUAGAUACCCUGGUAGUCCAUGCCGUAAACGUUGGGCACUAGGUGUGGGGACCAUUCCACGGUUUCCGCGCCGCAGCUAACGCAUUAAGUGCCCCGCCUGGGGAGUACGGCCGCAAGGCUAACACUCAGAGGAAUUGACGGGGGCCCGCACAAGCGGCGGAGCAUGCGGAUUAAUUCGAUGCAACGCGAAGAACCUUACCAAGGCUUGACAUGUUCUCGAUCGCCGUAGAGAUACGGUUUCCCCUUUGGGGCGGGUUC